ACGGCUCAGUAACACGUGGAUAACCUGCCCUUGGGUCCGGCAUAACCCCGGGAAACUGGGGAUAAUUCCGGAUAACGCACAUAUGCUGGAAUGCUUUAUGCGUCAAAUGGAUUCGUCUGCCCAAGGAUGGGUCUGCGGCCUAUCAGGUAGUAGUGGGUGUAAUGUACCUACUAGCCGACGACGGGUACGGGUUGUGAGAGCAAGAGCCCGGAGAUGGAUUCUGAGACAUGAAUCCAGGCCCUACGGGGCGCAGCAGGCGCGAAAACUUUACAAUGCGGGAAACCGUGAUAAGGGGACACCGAGUGCCAGCAUCAUAUGCUGGCUGUCCAGGUGUGUAAAAUACACCUGUUAGCAAGGGCCGGGCAAGACCGGUGCCAGCCGCCGCGGUAACACCGGCGGCCCGAGUGGUGAUCGUGAUUAUUGGGUCUAAAGGGUCCGUAGCCGGUUUGGUCAGUCCUCCGGGAAAUCUGAUAGCUCAACUAUUAGGCUUUCGGGGGAUACUGCCAGACUUGGAACCGGGAGAGGUAAGAGGUACUACAGGGGUAGGAGUGAAAUCUUGUAAUCCCUGUGGGACCACCUGUGGCGAAGGCGUCUUACCAGAACGGGUUCGACGGUGAGGGACGAAAGCUGGGGGCACGAACCGGAUUAGAUACCCGGGUAGUCCCAGCCGUAAACGAUGCUCGCUAGGUGUCAGACAUGGCGCGACCGUGUCUGGUGCCGCAGGAAAGCCGUGAAGCGAGCCACCUGGGAAGUACGGCCGCAAGGCUGAAACUUAAAGGAAUUGGCGGGGGAG
rnacentral:rRNA from 1 species